rnacentral:lncRNA from 1 species
AUAUGGGCCAGUUAUUGGGCCUUUUAAAAUUGUAGAUUACAUUUUCGUUAACUUGGUCAUGUUCGAAAAACUCGGAGUCCUCACGUCAGCGCCGGCGAAAUUCCGGUACUGCUCCGUCUUCUACGUGUAUUGAAGGAAAGUGUGACUGAGAUUGAAGAGUAUUGAUGGGGUCAGAAUUGUGGUAUACAUACAAGUAGAUGAAAAAUGGACCCAAGAGCUAAUCAAUGAGACAUCAAUGACAACAAAAAACCAGCACAAAGAAAAGAAAGCUUGAGGAAAGGCUUGGCUCGAGGAAAACAAUUUCAGAGCAAAACCCAAAAAAAUGAAAAGAAAAGACUCUCAAAGUUUAAGGGACAAGUCAAGGUUCUUCUGCUUCUCUUCUUCAGCUGGCUUCAACAAUUCCUCGCCUCUCUGCCAUAGUUCAGAAGUUGGAAACUCUACUGGAAUCCUUCCUACAUCGAACCUACCGAUGUUUUCACAUGUGGAAGUCAACGGUGGAGCAAUCAUCAUCUGAUGAUGAUUAUAAUGAUUCUCUGUUGAAGUUAGUUUUGCUAUUGCUGGUUGCUGAACUAGUGGUAUCCUUGACCAGUUGAUCUGACCAUACUCACCACCGUAAACGUUAUAUGAACUUGGCUUAUGACUCAUUGAGUGUGCCUGAAUACCCAAGGUUCUGUUGCUGUACUGUCCAUGGAACGGGACCGGAGCAAAACCAUAUGGAUGCCCGAAAGCUGCGGCAGAUGCCAUCCGUUGCCCUCGCUUUGCCAAAGUCCUUUCUCUUUUGUGGGCGUUUUGGUGACCACCAAGCGCCUGUGAGCUGUAGAAUGUUCUUUGACAGUAGUUGCAUGAGAAGAGCUUCUGUUCAGUGGAAGUUGACCCGUUAAAACUCGGAGUGACUACACCUGUCUCUAAGCAGUCGAGGAGAUUGAGUUCUUGAUUGAGCUGUGGUUGACUAGAAUCAUAUCCUGCUAGCAUAAGGUCAAGCUUUAUACCUUCCACUCCUUCUUUUUGGUCAUGAUCAUCUUCUUCUUGUGCUGCUACUGUGUCUAUGUUGUAAUUUUCUAGGCUCAGCUUUGGGGAAUCUGAAAAUUGAAGACUGGUGGAUGCAGAAAUGAUGCAUGAGGAAUCAGAUGAUCUUGGUUUUCCGCUGGAAGAAUCCAUGAGGGGCAAAGAGGGUAUAUAAUUUUCCAGGUGAUGGUUUUGUUCACUUCAAUUGUCUCUCUCUCUCACCUUAUGGAUUAAUAGCUAUAUAGCCUAAGAAAAAAAGAAGCAUAAAAGUCUAGUUUUUUCACAGAAGUGGGAGCAGAAGUUGAUGCUAUAUAAGGAAAGUAUAGACUCAGUACAAAUGCUUUUGGAGUUUGUAAUAAGUGGAGAAAAGUAGUAAGAAGAUGAGAGAGAUAGAGAAAGAGAGAUGGGUAGGUCUUGUUUGCUGACACACCACACACACACACACACAAAGACACAACAAAACACUUGAAGCUGAUUGGAACUCCACCAAUUAAUACCUGUGUUUAUCCCUUUGUAGGAGCAACUUUCACUUCACAUCAACCUUUUUUUGGGCUGCUUUCUCCUUCAAUACACCAAUCUCUAUUCCCUAUCAUGCAUAAUCUUCUUUAACUUUUUUUUUCCUGUUCUCUCAGUCUAUUGCCUUUAUGUGCUUAAAAGUUCUUCAACAAACAAGUAUACAUGUCAUUUCUUUUUCUUAUACCCAGGUUGAUGCCAAUGACAUGUAGAGUUGGGCUUAAUUCAAGAAAGCCAUCCCAAUGAAUAUUUACUUUUUGUCUUGGACUCCUGAUUCUAAUAGGCCCCAACUCGUCUUCAUUUGGUAUAGUUUUGUAUGCAGCCGCGGAUAUGUACUCUUUUGUAUGAGGAAAAAAGGAUUUGGAGGGGGGAACAAGACAAAAGAAAGCUUGGCAGUUCAAAAGAUCUUCUGAAACUGGGACCGGUUUUAUUUGUUUGGAUGAAACGACAACUUGUUGUAAUAUUCACGGAGUAGAUGAAGAUGACAACAAGUGACAAUGAAAUUGAAAAGGAUGCUCAAUGACAAGAGAGAGAGAUAAGGAGAGAGUGGACCAAGUGAAACUAUUCAGGUAUGUUUGAUGUUUUUGUGUACUUUUGAAACUUCGAGAUGAAAGUGGUCAUCUCUGUUUCCUUUUAGCUUUCCACUGUUUAACUCUCUUUUGUCCUCUUUUCACUUCUUCCUUUUGAAGUUUGCUUCACAUUCACACUCUCCUUCAUCUUUAUAUCCAUUGGAAUCCUUAAUAGUUUGCCGGAUUUUAUGGUUGAAAGGUACGAAACUCCCUUAGGACACAUUCUACUUCACAG